rnacentral:rRNA from 1 species
AUGGAGCGACUCCGCCAACCUUCUUCAUUGACUGUGACCCAAGAGGAGAAAGGCGAGGUGACUCUUUUAGUCGUCCAGGUCGUCAACUUAGUCCGGGAGGGGAUGACUGGCAUGGAUCUGUUGGAGGUGUUCCUCAGUCGACACAUCCAACCUCUCCAAGCCCGAGACCAGCCGAUGUGGAUGUACUCAGGCCGUGGAGAAACCGCUCAGGUCCACCCAGAGGAGGUCGCCGAGGAGACGGUGGUUCAGUGGCUGCGAAACAUCACUGGAAAUAAGGACAAUCCCAGGGGGUCCAGGAGAGUUCAGCCAUUCGACACCAACCAUGAGCCGAAGGAGAUUUACACCAAGAUGUACUCGAUGCCAAAUGGGGAACAACUCCAGGAGGGAGAGGAGAGCGCAGAUGAAAUCACGGACUGGCAAUCCGAAGAUGACAGUGACGACUCGGGAAGCAGCGAAGAGGUCAACUCGCCGCCCCGCUUAGAGCGUUGA